rnacentral:rRNA from 1 species
GGCGUCAGGAUGAACGCUAGCUACAGGCUUAACACAUGCAAGUCAGGGGCGAUCAGGCGAAAGCUGCUUCUUGCUGGCGACGGCGCACGGGUGAGUAACGCGUAUCCAACUUCCCCCCAGUAGGGCAUAGCCCGGCGAAAGUCGGAUUAAUACCCUAUGUUGUGUCAUGAGGACAUCUGAAUAACACCAAAGAUUUAUCGCUGGGGGAUGGGGAUGCGUCCGAUUAGGUUGUUGGCGGGUAACGGCCACCAAGCCCGCGAUCGGUAGGGGUUCUGAGAGGAAGGUCCCCCACACUGGUACUGAGACACGGACCAGACUCCUACGGGAGGCAGCAGUGAGGAAUAUUGGUCAAUGGACGAGAGUCUGAACCAGCCAAGUAGCCGUGCAGGACGACGGCCCUAUGGGUUGUAAACUGCUUUUAUGCGGGGAUAAAGUGAGGUAUGUAUACCUUUUUGUAGGUACCGCAUGAAUAAGGACCGGCUAAUUCCGUGCCAGCCGCAGC